CUAUUAUUCUUUUUGUUAUAAAGUUAACCUGAGUAGUAUUAGUUAUGUUCUUAAAACUCAAAGAAUUUGGCGGUGUUUUAGUCCUUUCAGAGGAACCUGUCCCGUAAUCGAUAACCCCCGUUUUACUUAGCUCAAAUUUGUAGUCAGCUUGUAUACCGCCGUCAGAAGAUUAUUUCUAGAGAACAUAUUCUGGAAUUUUUAUUAAAAAAUAUGUCAGGUCAAGGUGCAGUUUAUGUUUGAGAGGAGAUGGGUUACAAUAUAAGUAGAUAAAUGGAAUAAAUUUUGUAAUAAAUUUAGGAAAGUGGAUUUGAAUGUAAUGAAAAUGAGAUUAGUUUUAUGAUAACGGCUCUAAAACAUGUACA
rnacentral:rRNA from 1 species